UCGAGAAUUUUUCUCAAUGGACGAAAGUCUGAAGGAGCGACGCCGCGUGGGGGAUGAAGGGCUUCGGUCCGUAAACCCCUGUCAUUUGCGAACAAACCUUACUAUUGAACAUUUAGUGAGCUGAUUGUAGCGAAAGAGGAAGGGACGGCUAACUCUGUGCCAGCAGCCGCGGUAAUACAGAGGUCCCAAGCGUUGUUCGGAUUCACUGGGCGUAAAGGGUGCGUAGGCGGUGGGGUAAGUCUGGUGUGAAAGCUCGGAGCUCAACUCCGAAAUGUCAUCAGAAACUACUUCACUCGAGGUUUGGAGGGGGGACUGGAAUUCUCGGUGUAGCAGUGAAAUGCGUAGAUAUCGAGAGGAACACCAGUGGCGAAGGCGAGUCCCUGGACAAAUCCUGACGCUGAGGCACGAAAGCUAGGGGAGCAAACAGG
rnacentral:rRNA from 1 species